UUGAAGGAUGGGCACCAAGUCUAACCAAU
rnacentral:piRNA from 1 species